ensembl:lncRNA
UUCGCAUAAGCCCUGUGUACAAGGGGAGAUUUUAGAGGUAGUGAGUAUGAACUGCAACUCCUCUGAGCUAGGAAAUGGAUUAGAGGAAUUCCGGAAAGACCUAGAAGCAAAGAAGUAACUCUUGAAAGAAUUAGCCAGAAAAAUAAAUGUCCUAUGCUGAUGGGGAGAGGCAGUGUGGUGUAAUGCAUAGAGCUGGUCUUGGGGGGUCAGGAAGUGUGGAAAGGAAAACUGUGAAUCAAGCUUUUGCAUUUCUGCCCUCUGAGAUGGAGCAGACAUCGGUUGGAAUGUGUUGGGAGGGGGAAUGACAGUUAGGGUGAGAGAAGAGAAGUGGGAGAAACUGCUAACCGAAGUGUCUUUGCCCUCUGAACUCUGUCAAGUGUAGAGCAAAGAUCUGGAGCUCUAGAUCCCAACCAGUGGAAAAGCUUUUUUUCCAUUUCUCUUACCCAGAAGAAAAAGAAGGUUCCUGUAUAUUUCAUGAUGAGAGCAUCCAUUAGAGGAAAAACAAACAACAACAGCUGCUGAGAAGGGGCUGACCCUUAACUGCACGGGGUCACCCUGAAGAUCCUUUCCAUCUCUUGACCUUCCCAAGAAGGACACUUGCCGCAUGUUAAGGUCUUGAGAGUCUUCAAGCAGAGAUCCUUAUCACAUUGACACUCAUCAACCAUGCAACAGUUAUGAAUCCAUCUGAGUGUGUUUCUCCACAUCUCUAUAGCUUCACUAUAAAACUGUAUGAGAUACUUUAUCAAAAGUAUCACUAAAAUCCAUACAAAGAAAACCUGCAGAGUCAAGAUGGUAGCUUGGAGACGGCAUCAGUUCAGACCUCUGAAAACCCUAACUCACAAUCAAAAACAUAAUGCUUUGAGGGAACUGAAAACCAAAUCUAACAACAGAACAAAGCUAGGUAACCUUCCUCCUGGACCCAACUUAAAAGGUUCCAAUGUGCUGGCAGGAUGCUCUCUUCUCCCUGGGAGAGACGGGGAAGGGAUCUGAGUGGUAUAGAGGUGACUCACCCGCCUUGCUGGGCAGCUUGACGGGAUCGUGCCUGGGCUUACCAGAGUCUGAAGAACACAGGAGGAGGUACCAUGCUGCCAGCCAGGUCAGGAGGUGAAGCUGUUAGUGGGGUGGCUUUUUCCAGGAUGCCUGGGGAUAGAGGAAAUUAGACGUUGCUGAGGCCCAGGCUGGCGAGCAGAGAACGGUGGAAAGGAGGAGGACAGGCUCGCCCUUCCCCUGACCAGUGCAGAAUUGAAUGAAUUGAUUCCCAAACCAGAGUUUGGCCAGGAUUCCAUUCUGCACCGAGGAAAGUUCUCUAGCUGAAGGGAUCUGUGCCCCACAAGCUAAGUAUGAGGAAUCAGCAGCCAAGUUGGGUGCUUUCUCUCUCUCUCCUCAUGUCCCCAUUCACUUAGUCACCCUCCCCUCUCUUUCAACUGGCCUUCCUGCUUCCAAGAUCUUCCCCCUUUCUGGGCCACUCUCCACCAAGGUGCCAGAUUUCUGAGGUCUGAGGUCGCCCGCCCCCCAUUUAAGAAGCUACAUUAUCGUUAGGAGUGUGGGUUGAGAAGAUCUGGGUUGGAAUCCUGGCUCUUCUGCUUCUUCCUAGGUGACUCCAACUCCCUGGUUUUCAGCUCCCUUGACUAGAAAACAAGGGGGUUGGACCAGCUUCACUCUAAGGUCCCUUCCCAUUCUAACUCCAGGAUCCUAUAAAAAACAAUGCAAAUACUUCUAUUUGCCCUUUAAAGCCUUUCAGAGACUGGCUGCACCUUCUCUUCCAUGGCUGACGAUGCAUUCUUUCCAUACACAUAUUGUCAGUCACUCAGCCAGUCAACAGGUAUGCCACAAUUUCCAAAGUGUAAAUGCUCAAAAUUAAAAUUUAACUAUCAGCUCUCCUGAGCCAUCCAAGCUGGUUCAGCACACCCUACCCCACUCUCCCCA